rnacentral:rRNA from 1 species
GACGAACGCUGGCGGCGUGCCUAAUACAUGCAAGUUGAGCGCUGAAGGUUGGUACUUGUACCGACUGGAUGAGCAGCGAACGGGUGAGUAACGCGUGGGGAAUCUGCCUUUGAGCGGGGGACAACAUUUGGAAACGAAUGCUAAUACCGCAUAAAAACUUUAAACACAAGUUUUAAGUUUGAAAGAUGCAAUUGCAUCACUCAAAGAUGAUCCCGCGUUGUAUUAGCUAGUUGGUGAGGUAAAGGCUCACCAAGGCGAUGAUACAUAGCCGACCUGAGAGGGUGAUCGGCCACAUUGGGACUGAGACACGGCCCAAACUCCUACGGGAGGCAGCAGUAGGGAAUCUUCGGCAAUGGACGAAAGUCUGACCGAGCAACGCCGCGUGAGUGAAGAAGGUUUUCGGAUCGUAAAACUCUGUUGGUAGAGAAGAACGUUGGUGUGAGUGGAAAGCUCAUCAAGUGACGGUAACUACCCAGAAAGGGACGGCUAACUACGUG